rnacentral:lncRNA from 1 species
AAAAACCCGGCGUUUCCCGCCAGUAAAACCCGGGCGGGUAAUACUUUGCUAACCCUGACAUAUACCAAGGCUUUUCUUUACCUUUGUGUGUAAAAUACCAUCUUGAAGAAGGCUUUGCAUCAUAUUUUUUAUUGAAUCCAUAAUAAAUAUGCGUUAAUUGAGCUUUAUUUUCAAUUAUGUUCAGUUUUGAUGAUGACAUCACACAGACAUCAUAAGUGAUCUUUCUGCACUAAUAUGUGAUGAUUGUAUCAACAUGUUUAUCCAAAAAUCAAUCAUAAAAAAGCGAGAUUGACCUUAAUUAUUUUUUCAACAUUAUUUUUUUACUAAAGCCAAGUUGUCAGUUUACACUGCACUAUAAGUAGGCAUUAAUCAGUUUUGAUAGGUUGAAAAAAAAUCUCCUUCAGUGUAGAUUAUGCAUUAAAUGUGUGAUGUUAUGUAUUGUAAAGAUAGGCUUAAAGCUUAAGCCAUUUAGAUAUCAA